rnacentral:rRNA from 1 species
CAGCAGCCACGGGAAUACGUAGGGUGCGAGCGUUAAUCGGAAUUACUGGGCGUAAAGCGUGCGCAGGCGGUUUUGUAAGACAGGCGUGAAAUCCCCGGGCUCAACCUGGGAAUGGCGCUUGUGACUGCAAAGCUAGAGUGCGGCAGAGGGGGAUGGAAUUCCGCGUGUAGCAGUGAAAUGCGUAGAUAUGCGGAGGAACACCGAUGGCGAAGGCAAUCCCCUGGGCCUGCACUGACGCUCAUGCACGAAAGCGUGGGGAGCAAACAGGAUUAGAUACCCCAGUAGUCCCUGUCUCUUAUAC